GACGAACGCUGGCGGCGUGCUUAACACAUGCAAGUCGAACGAAGUGGCGAACGGGUGAGUAACGUGUAAUCACCCUGCCCUUCAGAGGGGGACACCACUUGGAAACGACUGCUAAUACCGCAUACUGAAGGAGGGGAUUGCGUCUGAUUAGCUGGUUGGUGGGGUAAAGGCCUACCAAGGCGACGAUCAGUAGCGGGUCUGAGAGGACGAUCAGCCACACUGGGACUGAGACACGGCCCAGACUCCUACGGGAGGCAGCAGUGGGGAAUUUUGGACAAUGGGCGCAAGCCUGAUCCAGCCAUGCCGCGUGUAUGAAGAAGGCCUUCGGGUUGUAAAGGACUUUUGUCAGGGAAGCGGUACCUGAAGAAUAAGCACCGGCUAACUACGUGCCAGCAGCCGCGGUAAUUC
rnacentral:rRNA from 1 species